rnacentral:tRNA from 1 species
GCCUAAGUAGUAUAACCAAUUAUACCCAAUUUCCAAUUGGGAGAUUCAAUUAGAGUUAGGUA